rnacentral:rRNA from 1 species
AGGUAACGUCAAGGCAACGGGUAUUAUUCCGUUACGGUUUCCUCCCUACUGAAAGUGCUUUACAACCCGCAGGCCUUCUUCACACACGCGGCAUUGCUGCAUCAGGCUUUCGCCCAUUGUGCAAUAUUCCCCA